UAACGCGUGAGGAACCUGCCUUUCAGAGGGGGACAACAGUUGGAAACGACUGCUAAUACCGCAUAACACAUAGGUGUCGCAUGGCAUUUAUGUCAAAGAUUUAUCGCUGAAAGAUGGCCUCGCGUCUGAUUAGCUAGUUGGUGAGGUAACGGCUCACCAAGGCGACGAUCAGUAGCCGGACUGAGAGGUUGGCCGGCCACAUUGGGACUGAGACACGGCCCAGACUCCUACGGAAGGCAGCAG
rnacentral:rRNA from 1 species